rnacentral:rRNA from 1 species
UGAUGUGGAUUAAUUCGAUGCAACGCGAAAACCUUACCUACCCUUGACAUGUCCGGAAUCCUGAAGAGAUUUGGGAGUGCUCGCAAGAGAACCGGAACACAGGUGCUGCAUGGCUGUCGUCAGCUCGUGUCGUGAGAUGUUGGGUUAAGUCCCGCAACGAGCGCAACCCUUGUCAUUAGUUGCCAGCAUUCAGUUGGGCACUCUAAUGAGACUGCCGGUGACAAACCGGAGGAAGGUGGGGAUGACGUCAAGUCCUCAUGGCCCUUAUGGGUAGGGCUUCACACGUCAUACAAUGGUCGGUACAGAGGGUCGCCAACCCGCGAGGGGGAGCCAAUCCCACAAAGCCGAUCGUAGUCCGGAUUGGAGUCUGCAACUCGACUCCAUGAAGUCGGAAUCGCUAGUAAUCGUGGAUCAGCAUGUCACGGUGAAUACGUUCCCGGGCCUU